GAGGAGGAGUAAAGACUGUUUACCAACGAAGUACACAGCAGCCCUAUCUAAGAAUCAGGAACUGGGGGUCCCUAGCUUUAAAUCAGAGGUGCGCUGAUUCUCUGGGAUUCGCAUCAAGACUUUUCAGCCUAGCUAGGCGAUAACCUCUCAAAAAUCGGAGCCAGUCUAGCGUCCAGGCCCAGGUUUGAAGCCAUGAUGACUCAACGCAGCAUCCCCUCCCGGUCUCCGCCUACCCUCAAUCAAUCUCAGCCUGGCACUUUGGGCGCCUGGAUUCCCAGUACUUAGCUGGUGGGUAAAGGGGCUCAUCCCCUUUCCGGCAUCCCAGCAGGCUGAACCUCCCCUCCUCCCAGUCUUGUAAAGUGCGGAGCUCCCGCCUGGAUCCUGCUCUUGGACGUCUUAGAAGGAUGUAACCUUCAGAUCUGGAAUUUAAGAGACGCAAGAACCAGCCAGCGACCAGGACCCAAAGUUCAUUCACCUGCCGAGCCUCUACUGAGGCCCCUGCCCUGUGCCUGGUGCUGCGCUAGAGGCUGAGGUCAAGGGAGCCACAAGACCUUCAAGACAUCUAGGCCUGAAGUCUUCCUGAAAGCUGAACCAGGCCACAGCCAUGUUCUAUUUCCCUCCAGCUAGGAUUUUCAUCUUAUCCUUCUCCUCCAGUAAGGCUGGGACUUGCUCACAUCCCUCUGCUCUUCAAUGGAAGGCGUGUUAUAAAGUGGGAUGUAUCAUUGGAGAUGCAGGGAGGAGAAGCUACAGUGUUCCUUCCGCAGAUUCUCAAAGGAGUCCAUGCUCCAAGAUGAGAUGGGUACCUGUGAGUUACAUUCCUUGAGUUAGAAGAGAUAAUUCUGAGAUACUGAGGACAACUUCCAAACCUGAAAUGACAACUGGAAUAUCUGAUGCUGCCCUGUCAUGUACUGGUGUUGCCUCCUUGUAGAAAGCCUACAGCUAUUCUAUUUGACAGAAUGGGAAGAAAAGGAGCUCAUUCCUGUCAAACCAGCUUGGGAUUCCUGGACAGUUUGAGAAGCCUCAUUGAUUGGAUCACUGGUGCUGAGGAGGAAAUGCCCAUCCACAGAGACAAAGCACUUCGGCACUCACUGCUCAUCCCAAUGGGACGUGGGCAGGCGCCUGCACAGCACCUUCGGGACUAUGAGAGCUCACCAGUACUGAGGAAGCUUCCUGGUCAGUACAACUUCAUUUCUCCAUGUCUUGUGACCAAAAAGUAUGGUGUCUUCAGAAAUAGGGUCUUAAUAUCAGGUCCUGGUGAACAACUAAGAGUAAUAGCAGUAGCCUAUCAUGUUUGGGGGUUCCCCAGGAAACCCUGACCUUUUCUGGUACUUGAGCUUUUUUCUUUUCUUUUAAAAUAUUUUUAUUAAUUUUUGUGAAUUUCAUACUUUGUAUUUUGAUCAUAUUUACCUCCUUUCCUCCUAACCUCCUUCCUACACCUUCAGCUUUGUGCUCUUUUAAAAAGUUUUUUUUAACAUUUUUUUCUUCCAAGACAGGGUUUCUUUGUGUAACAGCCCCUAGCUGUCCUGGAACUCGCUCUGUAGACCAGGCUGGCCUUAAACUCACAGAGUUCUGGGAUUAAAGGCAUGCAACACCACAGCUCAGCCAACUUUGUGUUAUUUAAAUAUACACAUACAUACAUAUAGCUUUUUAUUUGAUAACCUAUGGGUUCUUAGAGAAGCACUGUCCUCUCUAUAGGAUAACUUCAAUUAAACCCUUUCAUUCACAUAUCUAUAUACAUAUAUAGAUAGAUAGAUAGUUAUUACAUUUAUAUAUAUAUAUUCUUACAUAUGAAGUUUGUUUGUUUAUUUGUUUUUUGGUUUUUCGAGACAGGGUUUCUCUGUAACAUAUGAAGUUUUCAAUAUUAAGUUUCCAUAUAACUUUUUCCAAUUACCCAUAGUAUUAGCUAUUCCUUGCCUUACCCCUCCUCUGUCCUGCCUUACCUCUCCCUCUCCCCACUUAAAUCUCCCUCCACAGUGAUUAUCCCCUUUGUUUCCUUCAUAUCACCUGUGUUCUAAUAUCCCAUUCUCCACAUGGUAUUUCUUCCCCCUCUCCACAAUGAUCACUUUCUACUUUGCUGGAUUCUACAGAUAUUCCAAGUUAAACACACAAAUCCAAAGAGUUGAUGCUAAAAUCCAUAUAAGUGAGAACACACAACACUUGUUUUUUUGUGCUUGGGUCACCACCCAUAGUCUUCCUUCAUAGUGAAUUGGAAUUUUCUAGUGUUUCAAUUUCUUUAUUAUGUUACUGUAUUUAAAAUCAUUUUUGACUGGUUAGAGUUUGGCUGGCAACAUACAUCUUAGCUUCUCAAAAUCUAAUUUCAAAACAUACUAAUUUAAUUCUAAUGCAGUAAAGAAUAUUUGUACCUAUUAUAUAACCACUCUCUUCAGAUUUUGCAACCUUGUAGUUUUAUAUAGUGCAAUUUAUUUAUAUGUUACCAAACCCAAAUGCAUUCUAGUAAUCAUAUAGUUGUACCUGUUGUACAGGAUCUAGAAUAAAGUAAGAUCAUGUCUGCAAAGUAUUAGAUUGAUCCACUGUGUCUGACUUAUCCAUUUCUUUUUGGAGAUUUCAGUUGCUGUCUGGUCUCUUAAAGUCUAAGCUGUUUAACUUUUGUUCACGUCCUUUAUAUUGCUGUUUUACAAAUGUAUGACAUUCCAGCAUACUAUAAAUCUAAUAGCACCUGUACAUAUACAUUGUUUUAUUAUGCAUUUCUUACCAGGGAUACAUAUCUAACAGUGUUGUUUUUAUCAUGUGUUAACUGAGGUAAAUUCAUAUAAUGCUAAACAUAUUAAAAUAUAGAAUCCAGUGGCAUUAAUCACACUCAUCAUGUUGUACAACCACCACAUUCUUUAGUUUGAAUUCUUUAUGACCUCAGAGAAAUUCCAUAUGCUUUCCUUUCCCCUUUGCCCUAGUCUUUCUGCCUUGAUGAUAUAGCUAUUAUAGAUAUUUUAUUUAAAAUUCAUACACUAUGCAACUUAUGUCUGUUUUUCACUUAGAAUGCUUUCAAGGUUCACCCAUAAGUGCUUCAUUCCUUUUUAUGGUUGGAUAAUGUUUCACUUUAUGUACAUAACAAAAUGUGCUUAUCUGUUCAUCUGUUGAUGGUCAUAAGUAUUGGUCUUUUUACCUCUGGGUUGUGAUGAAUAACUGCUGUUAUAAACAUUCAUGUGCAAGUUUCUAUGCAAACAAAUGUUUUCAUUUCUCUUGGAUGCAGAAAUGCAGGUGAAAAUGCUGGGUCAUGUCACAUCCUGUUUUUAAUGUUUACAAACAGUAAUUGUCUUAUCCUUUGAAAGUUUCACAUAUUCAUACAAUGUACAUUGACCAUAUCCAUCUAACAACUACCUCCCUGUAACUUCCCCUAGACCAUCCCAUCUCUUUCCCAACUUUAUGUCAUCUUUUUAACUUUUUAGUUAAAAAGUAUCCCCCCAAGUCUAGUCAGUGCCCAUAUGAAUGUGUGUGUGUGUGUGUGUGUGUGUGUGUGUGUGUGUGUGUGUGUGUACGGCCAUUCACUGGGACAAUCACCCUACCAGUGACUCUCCUUCCUGCAGUAGCUCUGAAUCCCCUCUGCCAUGGAUAGGGCCUCAGGAACCCAUCCCCCAGCCAUGCUGGGAGUGUAACUGGCUUGCUCAUGUACAGGUCUUCUGCAGGCAACUAUAGCUGCUUUGAUUUGAUGAGUGUAUGGUCAUGUCUAGAGAAAGCAUUUCAUUGAUCUCUCCAUCUGCUCACUCUUCCAUUCUUUCUUCUCCUUCUUCGAAGUUCCUAGAGCUUUGGAUGGUGGGAGAAUGGUGUUGAUGGUCCAUCCAUAACUGAGUGCUCAGGGUUACAUACAAUUGACAUUUUGACUACUUAGAAGUCUGUUUUCACCACCACUAUCUGAAAAAGGAAACUUCUUUAAUCAAAACUGAGAGCAGCACAAAUCUACACAUGCUAACACAAACACUUAGAAGGUAGUUUCACAGCAUGAUUGUUUAACAAAACACCUGUAGGUUCCCUGGAUCGAUGAUCUUCCCAGUCAUGGGCUUCUGACCAUGUUUAUAGUCCCAGGUAUGAAAUUCCCCCCCAUAGAGCAAGCCUCAUAGCCAAAGCGAUCUGAAAUAAAAUGAAUAUUGUUGGAGGAAUCACCCUACCUAAUUUAAAAUUAUACUACAAAAAUGCAGUAUUAAAAGCAGCAUGAUACAUACACACAAAUAAACAAAAAAAGACACAUAGAUCAAUGGAAUAGGAUAGAGGGCCCAGAUCUUAGUCUACACAAGUAAAGCUACCUGAUUUUUUGAGAUGCCAAAAAUGCAUGUUGGAGAAAAUAUACUAUCUUCAACAAAUAAUGCCAGGAAAACUGGAUUGCAAAUGCAGGAAAAUUACCCUGGACCUUUUUUUCUCACCCUGCACAAAACUUAACCCCAUUGGACCAAACACCUCAAUGUAAGGCCUGAUUCUGUGAAGCUGUCAGAGGAUAAAGUAGGGAGAUGCUUCAACACACAGGGGCAGGUGUGGACUUUCUGAAUAGGGCUCCUGUAUCACAGGAAAUAGGACCAAUGAAUCUCAAAUGGUAGUCUCAUGAAAAUAAUAGAAAAUUUCUUCACAGCAAAGGAAACUCUCAGUGGAGUAAAGAGGUAGCCACAGAACAAGAGAAAACCUUCACCAACUCUAUAUCUCACGGAGAACUAGUGUUCAUAGUAUACAAAGAACUUGGCAAACUAAACUUCAAGAAAACAAGCAACUGGAUUAAAAAUGGGAUGUGGAAAAUGAGCUAAAAGAUUUCAAAACAAGAAAUACAAAUGGCUAGGAAAUACUUUUUAAAGUGUUCGACAUCCUUAGCUAUCAGGAAAGUGAAGAUUCAAACUACUUUACAAUUUAAUCUCCUGGCAGCCAGAAUGACCAAGAUCAGAAAUACAAAUGUCAACAAAUGCUGGUGAGGGUGGGGAAAAAGAGAAUCCUAACACUCUGUUAGUGGAAAUGUAAACUAGUAACUUCUGUAGCCACUUGAAAUUCACUCUGGAGGUCUCUAAAAAAAAAAAAGACAAAACAAAACAAAACACCUAGACACAGAACUCCAUCUGACCCAUAAAUGUAACCCCUGGAUAGAGAGGACUUUAUAAAUACCAUAGAGAACAAAUCUAUGUUCACUGUGGUUCAAUUCACAGUAGUUAGGAAAUGGAAUUAACCAAGAUGUCUAUCAACUGAUAAACAGAUAGAGAAAAUGUAAUACAUGUACACAAAUGAACUAUUACUCAACUGUAAAGAAGAAAAUCAAAUCAAAAUCAUAUAGGAAAACAUUCGAUUGGUGUUGGCUUACAGUUUUAGAGGUUUAGCCCAUUGUCAUCUUGGCAGAAAGCAUGGUGGCACAUGGGCAGAUAUGGUUCUGGAGAAGUAGCUGAGAGUUCUACAUCUGGAUCAACAGGCAGCUAGAAAAGAGACUGACAUGGGUCUGCCUUGAGUUUCUAAAAUCUCAAAUCACCCCCAUUGGCACACUUUCCCCCAACAAAGCCACACCUUCUAAAUUACCACUACCUAUGGGUCUAUGGGGGACAUUUUCAUUCAAACCACCAUUUUUGGUCUUUAGAUACAUGAAGAAGAUUUAACAGAUAUCCACUAGUAUGUUAGCUAAUAAGAAAUAUAAUGAUUUUAACUUACUAAAAUUCUUUUCCUAGUAGUAGAGUCAUCUUACACUUCUGUAGCAACUGAAAAAGGUUCUGACAUCUUCAAAUUUUUGCCAAUGUUUUUUCUUGAUGGCACAUGUUCUGGUUAGUGUUUUGCCAACUUUACCCAAGCUAGAGUCCUUUGGGAAGAGGGAUACUUAAUUGAGAAAAUGCCCCCACUAGAUCAGCCUGUGGUGAGUUGAUAGAGUAGAACCCAGUUCACUGUGGGUAGUGCCAUCCCUGAGGUUGAUGGUCCUGGAUUGUAUAAAAAAGCAAAUUGAGCAAGCCAGCAGGAGCAAGCCAGUAAGCAGUAUUCCUCUGUGAGCUCUGCUUCAGUUACUGUUUACCAUGUUCCUGCCUUGACUUCCUGCCCCGAGGAUGAACUGUAAACUACAAACUGAACUAAACUCUUUCCUCCUUAAGUUGCUUCUGGUCAUGGCGCUGUAUCACAGCAAUAGAAACCCUGACUAAAACAACAUCCUAGUAGAAGUGAAGUGACAUCUCCUUUGUGGCUUUUGUUUAUAUUUUUGCAAUGUACAAAAACAGUAUAUCUUCUUUAGAGAAGUAUCCAUUCAAGUCUUCUUCCUGUUGCUUAAUUGAGAUGUUUUUAAAUUACAAGGUUUUUGACACAUCCUGAAUACUAAGCAGAUCACUGUAGAGGUUUUUAUUUACAUCAUUUUAUUCUAUUCUGCUGGUUUUCUUUUCACUUUCUUUGACAUCCAGACCAAUUGUUAAAAACCAGUCCCUUAUCCUACAGUAUGUCACUCAUGCACAGUGUCACCUAGUCACCAAUGAUGCCCAGAUUCCUCUUCGGCCAGACACAGCCUUUCAUCUGGACACCAAAUUUCUAUUUCUUGCAGACAACUUGCCUUCAAGUCAUUUUGACGCUUCUUCAUCAAGAACAUUCUCUACAAGUCUUAUCUCAACAGAUGAAAAUCCCGCUAGCCUAGUUCAUGAAUUCAAAAACUAGUAUCACCUGAAUGCCCCCUCCCCAGUUCUCCAGCAAGUCUCCAGCAAGGCUGUAUACCUCAAAAUACCCCAAAACUAAUUAUUUCUCUCUGUUUCCAUGCUUCCAACCACGUUUGAAUUUUCUUCUGAAGUGCAGUACUUUGAGUUAAUUCCUGCUUGUCCUCACUGAAGUGCAGUACUUUGAGUUAAUUCCUGCUUGUCCUCCAGUACAGGCCUCAGAUAGCCCAAGGAGGAAUAUUUAGACACCUUUCUCUGAUGCGGGCUUUCUAGCAUCACUUUCCACCCCAGCAAACUACUGCACACUGUUCCCUGUGUUACGGUUGCAACAUCCUUGUGUGCAAUAAAUACGCUUCCUCUGUCAGGCAACCCUCUGCAAGGUGAGCAUCCCCCUUCCUUAUGUCUCGGUGUUAAAGGGCACCUCCUUUAAAAAGCUGUCCCCAUAAUACUCUCUCCUUCUUUACCCUAUUCGGUUCCACUAUGUUGCCCAGUUUAUCACUAUUAAUAUAGUCUGAGUGGUUCUAGCGGACCUAAAAUUCAGAUAGUCUAGUAUUGCCUCAAAUACAUGGUUAUCCUCAUGUCUCAGCCUCCUGAACACUAGAAUUCUAGUUAUGGGCCUCAUGCCUGGCUUAGGGUCUGAUUAUCAAUUUACUUAAUGAUUGCUUUAUGCAGUAGGAGCCACAGUUGUUAUCAACAUCACUCUAAUAAACACCAACAAGUGACAAGACUUCACAUCUUGCCAUCAGUGAAUCCAUUCAGAAACUGUGCUGAGACAUAUUUGAAUGUCUAUGUGUAUGCUCAUAUGAAUCCAUAAAAUACAUUCACACGAAUACUUGAAUAUAUGUGUAUAUGUGUAAACAGGCACAUUAGACAAAUACACUCAUUUAAUCCUUCAAAAACUCCCUGAACUGCAUAAAUUACUCUUGAUUAUAUAGCUGAUAAAAAAGCUCAGAGUGGAUAAGUGGCUUGCCCAUGGCCAUCCUGUGAGUGUCUGAACUGGACUGUUCCAGAAAUUAUGCCUUGAAACCCUCCCACUGCCCUAAAAUAUCCUCUAAAAGGAUUUAUGGCUAAGGAACAUUGGAUAUUUCCUUGGGUGAAAGCUCUAGUUAAGGUAUUGAGAGCAAGAUAAACACAAGAACCAGAGAUCAGGGUCCCUGUCUAACAAAAAAGUGGAUAUGUUAUCAUAUAACCUAACUCAAGAAAGGGCCUUGGUCAAGAGGAUGAUGUGAUGGGAAAUAAGGACUGUAUGUCUGUAGCAGCUUGGCUCCAAACCAGGCUACAGAAACAUCUGAUUUGUCAACAUAGAGGCAAAAUGACAAUGAUUUCAUUCAUACCUUAACCAGAAGAAA